rnacentral:lncRNA from 1 species
UGAUACCCGGGCUGUGCACCAUCCACCUCCCUGCUCCCCUGUCCCGCACUCUCGGGAACAAGGUCUCCCUCGCCGCUCAGGCUGGAAUGCAGUGGCACGAUCAGAGCUCAUUGCAGCCUUGAAGUCCUGAAGCUCCAGACUCUUUUUUUUGUUUUUUGAAACGCAGUCUCGCUUUGUCGCCCAGGCUGGAGUACAGUGGUGUGAUCUCGGCUCACUGCAACCUCUGCCUCCCAAGUUCAAGCAAUUCUCUAAUUCUCUGCCUCAGCCUCCUGAGUAGCUGGGAUGACAGGCGCCCGCCACCAUGCCCGGCUAAUUUUUUUGUAUUUUUACUACAGACGGGUUUCACCAUCUUGGCCAGGGUGGUCUUGAAAUCCUGACCUCGUGAUCCACCUGCUUUGGCCUCUCAACGUGCUGCGAUUACAGGCAUAAGCCACCGCACCUGGCCCUCUUUUUUUUUUUUUUUGAGACAGAGUCUGGCUCUGUCCCCCAGGCUGGAGUGUGAUCUCGGCUCCCUGCAACUCUGCCUCCCUGUUCCAGUGAUUCUCUUGCCUCAGCCCCCGGAGUAGCUGGGAUUACAGGCGCACGCCACCACGCCCGGCUAAUUUUUGUAUUUUUAGUAGAGACAGGGUUUCAUCAUGUUGGCCAGGCUGGUCUAGAACUCCUGACUUCAGGC